GUCCUAGUAGCUUAACAAAGCAUGGCACUGAAGCCGCCAAGAUGAAACUAACUACUUCCGCGGACA
rnacentral:tRNA from 1 species